rnacentral:rRNA from 1 species
CCUACGGGAGGCAGCAGUGGGGGAUAUUGCACAAUGGGGGGAACCCUGAUGCAGCGACGCCGCGUGAGCGAAGAAGUACCUCGGUAUGUAAAGCUCUAUCAGCAGGGAAGAAAAUGACGGUACCUGACUAAGAAGCCCCGGCUAAAUACGUGCCAGCAGCCGCGGUAAUACGUAUGGGGCAAGCGUUAUCCGGAUUUACUGGGUGUAAAGGGAGCGCAGGCGGCCUGCCAAGUCUGGUGUGAAAACCCGGGGCUCAACCCCGGGCCUGCAUUGGAAACUGGCGGGCUGGAGUGUCGGAGGGGCAGGCGGAAUUCCUGGUGUAGCGGUGAAAUGCGUAGAUAUUAGGAGGAACACCGGUGGCGAAGGCGGCCUGCUGGACGAUGACUGACGCUGAGGCUCGAAAGCGUGGGGAGCAAACAGGAUUAGAUACCCGGGUAGUC